CACCGCUGGCCUAAUUCUAGAAUUUCAACUUGCAAAAGAACAAUUCGCUCUGCAAGGUGGGGGUCCGGUUUCGAUUCCCUGAAGGUGCA